rnacentral:lncRNA from 10 species
CACACCUGGCUAAUUUUUGUAUUUUUAGUAGAGAGAGGGUUUCACCAGGUUGGCCUUGAACUCUGAUCUCAAGUGAUCCACACACCUCAGCCUCCCAAAGUGCUGGAUUACAGGUGUGAGCCACCGCAUCUGGCUAAAAAAAAGUUAAUUCUAGAGGCUAAUAAACAUUUGAAUGACAGUUAAUAUCUACAUUUUCUAAUUAGGGUUGAAUCCUGUUUUACUUUCCUGUGGUGAGAAAAAAGUUUAAGGGAAAUCAAAGUGGGAUACAUGGGGCCACAUCCACAGAGCAAUCGACUGUUCCUUUUCAUAAGGUCUGUUACUUUACCAACUAAGUCCAAGGAGUGAUAAUAGGAUUCUGAUAGAACAAACACUGCUUCCUUAAGAACCAACAUUCUUUAGGGAUUGGGGGCAAAGUUUUUUUAAAGGAAUAUAAUGUCCAAGUUAUUUUGUUAUAAUAGUCUGAUCUGUAUUUCCAGUCUUCCAUCUAGUAUUUUAUAUUAAGAUCAUGCCCCCACACACAUCUACUGUAUGUUUCCUUAAGUUCUAGAUUCAGGAAAACUAAAUUACAAAAAAAUCAAAAUAGUGCUCUGACUCUGGAGGGAAGGGCAGAGUUGACUGGCAACAAGGGAACUUUGAGGUAAGAGUAAUGUUGUAUACCUUGAUCAGAGAGUGGAAUUGUCUGUGUAUACACUUAAAAUGUAUGGGUUUGCCGGGCGUGGUGGCUCACGCCUGUAAUCCCAGCACUUUGGGAGGCCGAUGUGGGCAGAUCACAAGGUCAGGAGAUCAAGACCAUCCUGGCUAACAUGGUGAAACCCCAUCUCUACUAAAAAUACAAAAAAAAAUUAGCCAGGCGUGGUGGGGGAUGCCUGUAGUCCCAGCUACUUGGGAGGUUGAGGCAGGAGAAUGGCGUGAACCCGGGAGGUGGAGCUUGCAAUGAGCCGAGAUCACGCCACUGCAUUCCAGCCUGGGUGACAGAGCAAGACUGCCUAAAAAAAAAAAAAACUAUGAGUUUUUUUAAAAUGUAAAUUGUAUCUCCAUAAGACAACUGUCUAAUAUUAUUUAUAUUCUUUUUAGACAAAGUCUCACUCUGUCGCCCAGGCUGGAGUGCAAUGGCAUAAUCUUGGUUCACUACAACCUCCGCUUCCCGGGUUCAAGAGAUUCUUCUGCCUCAGCUUCCCGAGUAGCUGGGAUUACAGGCGCCUGCCACCACACCCAGCUAAUUUGUGUAUUUUUAGUAGAGACAGGGUUUCACCAUGUUGACCAGCCUGGUCUUGAACACCUGACCUCAGGUGAUCUGCCCACCUAGGCCUCCCAAGGUGCUGGGAUUACAGGGGUGAGCCACCGCACCCGGCCUCUAAUUUUAAAAGUAUUCUUCCCUCUGGUUUUUGCUGGUAGGUAUUAUCUUAAUUUUUGUUUUUUAAGACAGGGUCUCACUUUUGUCCCCCAGGCUGGAGUACAAUGAUCACUCACUGUAAUCUUGAAC